rnacentral:lncRNA from 1 species
GAGAAACGAUGUUGCAUAUCCUGUGAAAUUUUAUGGCAAGGUUGUUUCUGGAUCGGAUGGAAAAAAUCAUUGGAUUGGAGGAGAAGAUAUAAUGGCUGUGGCACAUGAUGUCCCUAUUCCAGGAUAUAAAACUAAAACAACGAUUAACCUGCGACUUUGGUCAACUAAAGCUCCAGCAGAAUAUCUGGACUUGUCUACUUUCAAUUCUGGGGAGCACACCAAAGCAUGUGAGGCCCUAGCAAAUGCUGAAAAGGUGUGGAUUUGUUCCUAAAUAUUUUAUUGUUCUAAAUGUUCUUCUUCCGCGUGUUCUUUUCUGGAAAACAGUAUGAAUGCUAGGAUGAUCUGUAUAAUACUUUCGCUUAAUAUUAGAUUUGCUAUGUUCUCUACCCUGGGGAUGACUCUGUGGAGGGCAAGAUCCUCCGGUUGAAGCAACAAUACACCUUAUGUUCUGCCUCUCUCCAAGAUAUCAUUGCACGUUUUGAGAGAAGAUCUGGAUCAAAUGUAAAAUGGGAAGAAUUCCCGGAGAAAGUCGCGGUGCAGAUGAAUGAUACUCACCCCACACUCUGCAUCCCAGAGCUGAUGAGAAUCUUGAUGGACUUGAAAGGAUUAGGCUGGAAGGAGGCCUGGAAUAUUACUCAAAGGUAUUCCUUUUUCCUGGUUGUUUUAACUACAUAUGCAGAUUUUCCACUUUAUUUUUAUUUUUCUUCUUUUUUGAUAAGUUUCAUAAUGAAAGCCACCUUCACUAUGCUUAACUUCAAGCAUUAUAUCGAGUAACCUCACAUUCUGCUGGUUAUGUACCAGAACUGUGGCGUAUACAAACCACACUGUUCUACCAGAAGCAUUGGAGAAAUGGAGCUUGGAGCUUAUGCAGAAACUGCCACCACGACAUGUUGAGAUUAUAGAAAUGAUUGAUGAAGAGGUAAUAUGGAUACGUUAAACAAAAAACAUAUAUUUCUGCAGUGUGCUUAUCUUAACUUUAAUUUCUGCCCUUCUAUAUUUUGCAGCUGAUACACACCAUUGUUUCCAAGUAUGGUAAAGCAGAUCCCAACCUGUUGGAGAAAAAACUGAAGGAAAUGAGAAUAUUAGAAAAUGUAGAUCUGCCUGCCUCUUUUGCAGAUUUAAUUCCUAAACCUAAGAAAAGCUCAAUUGCUAAUGUCACUGAAGAACCUGAAAGCAAGUUGGUUGACAAAGAAGAUGAAUCAGAAAGCGAAAACAAAUCCAAGAGCAAAGGCUCUCAGAAGAAGGAAAAGAUGGUGGUAGAAUCACCUCCAAAACUCCCAAAGUUGGUCCGGAUGGCAAAUCUCUGUGUGGUUGGUGGUCAUGCAGUAAAUGGAGUUGCUGAGAUACAUAGUGAAAUAGUGAAGGAUGAAGUGUUUAACGCAUUUUAUGAGGUGAUUUCAUUUUUAUUUGAUCACAGUAAAAUGCAGAUUAAAUGACUUCAUUACACCUGAGGGAUUUAACCAUUUAAGUUCCUUUCCAAAUGAUUGUUAAAAGUGCUUGUAAUUUGACCUCUGUAAUCUAAUUUUUCACAGCUGUGGCCUGAGAAGUUUCAAAAUAAAACUAAUGGUGUCACUCCAAGAAGAUGGAUUCGUUUCUGCAAUCCAGAUUUGAGUAAAAUUAUCACUGAAUGGACUGGCUCUGAAGAAUGGGUCUUGAAUACUGAGAAGCUGGCUGACCUAAGAAAGGUAAUCCACCAUAUUCAAAUUUCUUAGUCUCUCAAUUGGUGGACUGUACACACUCCCUUUCAAUAAAACACUCAACAUAGUUGGGAGCACAAAUGCAUGUCAUGUCUUGAUAUCAAAAUGUAGCUCUAGCUUAUGUCAGAUUUUUGCCUCAUAUUUGGCUGGUUAUUCUAGAAUUAUGCUAGACAUCUCUGAAAAACUAUAUGGUUCUUAAAUUAGUUGUUUUUAAUUAAUCAAUUGUAAAUGAUCACUGAAUCAUCUUGGUUAUAAUCCCUACUAUGCAGCUAAAUCAAAUUUUUGAAAAUUGUAUGCAGUUUGCAGAUAAUGAGGAUCUUCAAGCCCAGUGGAGGGCAGCCAAAAAAGGCAAUAAAAUGAAGGUCGCAGCACUGAUCAAAGAAAGAACAGGGUAUUCUGUCAGUCCGGAUGCUAUGUUUGAUAUCCAGGUAAUUUUUUGCCUCUCCAGGCUCCUGUUAAUGUGACAGAAUGUAAGAUAUCGAGUACUUUAUCGAAAUGAAGAAGUUACACGAAAUUUGAGAUGAACCCUUUACCCAUUUCUGCAUUAGGGGAAGAACAUGAGAAUUCUAUGGAAGGAAUGGACAACAAUUAGGAAUAUAUAUGUUCUUUCUUUUCAUGCUUUCAUCUGAAAUACCAUUUUAUAUAUAGUUGAUAAUGGUUAUUGUGUUCAGGUGAAGCGCAUUCAUGAAUACAAGCGACAACUGCUGAAUAUUCUUGGAAUCGUGUACCGCUACAAGAAGAUGAAAGAAAUGAGUGCCGUAGAAAGGAAAGCAAGCUAUGCUCCCAGAGUUUGUAUAUUUGGAGGGAAAGCAUUUGCUACAUAUGUGCAAGCCAAGAGAAUUGUGAAACUUAUAACAGAUGUUGGGGCUACAAUUAAUCAUGACCCUGAAAUAGGUGAUUUACUUAAGGUAUGGCUUGAAUGCUAAAUAUUUCUGCUAAAAUUUCAUUGCACUCCAAAGCAUUUUCACCGUGAAUGUACAGUAAUCACUUGCAAUGAUUUACAUUCUAUCCCUAAACAGAAGUAUCAUACGUCGCCUUUUCCUUUUAAAUUUUAGGUUAUUUUUGUCCCGGAUUAUAAUGUCAGCGUUGCUGAAUUGCUCAUUCCUGCAAGCGAGCUCUCACAGCAUAUCAGGUAAUUCAGUUUUCUCUUCUUUCGCAAAGCAGUUAUUUUGCAAUGAAUGGCUGUAUCCUAAUUUCUCUUUCUUCUUGUAGCACUGCUGGAAUGGAAGCCAGCGGAACCAGCAACAUGAAGUUUGCAAUGAAUGGUUGUAUCCUAAUUGGAACAUUAGAUGGGGCCAACGUUGAAAUACGACAAGAGGUUGGAGAAGAGAACUUUUUCCUUUUUGGUGCUAAAGCUCAUGAGAUUGCAGGUCUGAGGAAACAAAGGGCAGAAGGGAAGGUAUGCCGAAUGAUACGUAUAUUGUUAUCUUUUCAUUUAUCCGGAAAACAUUUCAGGCCUCGACCGUAUGAAGGAGGCUAUGGUUUACAAAACAAUAGUAACUUUUGCUAACCUCUUAAUAUAGUUUGUUCCGGACCCACGUUUUGAAGAAGUGAAAGAAUUUGUUAAAAGCGGUGUUUUUGGGUCUUUCAAUUAUGACGGGCUAAUGGGAUCCUUGGAAGGAAAUGAAGGUUUUGGUCAAGCUGAUUAUUUCCUUGUUGGCAAGGACUUCCCAAGCUACAUAGAAUGCCAAGAAGAAGUCGACAAGGCAUAUUGGGACCAGAGGGUGAGUUGCUUAUUAAAACACAAUAUGAAAUUCUCCAAACUUUUCCAUUCUGAAGAUUUGAUGAUUGAUUCCGACAUUUCUGUUUUUCUGUAUGCAUUGCCAAACAUUUAAACAUUUUCGUAAAAUCCUUGCCAUUUUCCUGAUGUUUGUAACUACUGGUGGCAGAGAUGGACCCGAAUGUCAAUUCUGAAUACAGCAGGAUCAUACAAAUUCAGCAGCGACAGGACGAUUCAUGAAUAUGCACGUGAUAUUUGGAACAUUCAACCUGCCAUAUUGCCAUGCUAAUGACUAGCAGUUGCAGAGUUGGCAGUGCCACGGCUUCAGGAAGAUUGAAUGGUCUUUCAUCCUUAGUCUUCCAAGUUUUUCCUCCACAACCACCUCUCCUGUCGGGGAAGACAUGUAUAAAAUAAAAUUUUCUUCCAAUGUAAAGGAAAUCGCCGGAAAUAAAUGUGGUUCUAGUAGCCAAGUGCAAUAAAACAAGUUGCUCCAUAAGCAUGUAAGAAAUGUAAUUUCAAAAAUUUCGCCAAUAUCAUGAAGACGAAAAGUUGUAAUCGUCAUAAAAGCUACUUAAAUAAGAUUCACUCGAUAGCUUAGAUAAACCACAAAUCAGGCAAUCACUCCUAAUAAAUUAAAAAGUAAAGUGAAAACAAAUACUGAAUAUAUACGUGUAUACAACAAUAAUAUUAAAUUGUUUUUGCAUCAUACUGGCUGCUCUUCAUUUCAGAAACAAGAAUGGUUAAAGGAAUCUGAAAGCUUCAGAGCGUGUUUCUUAGAGAAAAACUGUUUUCAUUUUCUGUUAUUUAAGAAAGCAGUUUUUUUUUUUUUUUUUUUUUUUUGAAAAAUUAAAAACUAGAAAAUAAAAAAUGAAAAAUGUGUUCGGCAACAAUAGAAAGUUAUAUUUUAAUUUAAAAUUUUUUAAAUAUUUUUCUUAGCUUUCAUAAUUAAUAAAAGAAAUAAAAUAUUAUAAAAUAAAUUUAAAAUUUUUUUAUUUUUAUUAUUGAUUAUUUAUGAUAAUAAUAUAAAUUUUAUCAUUUUGUAAAAUUUUUUAAACAUAAAGGAUAUAAUAUAUAUGUAAUAAUAAAAUUAAUUAUAUAUUAAAGUAUUAUGUUAUUUAAAUAUUUUUUAUUUUUUCAGUAAAAAUAUUUUAUAUACAAAAUUAUUUUUAGAUGUUAUAAUUUAAUUAUAAAAAUAUUAUUUUUUAAAAAUGAAAAACGAUUGGAAAAUAUGUUUUUUUUUUUUUUUGUUAUAAAGACAUAUUCUCUAUCUCUUUCGAGGAUUUUUUUUUUUUUUUUUUUUUUAAGGUCUUCUCAGGAUCCAUUUUUAGAGAGAUGCUGGCAUGAUGCAAAUAAACACUACUAUAUAUAAUAAUAAUACUCUCUAUACAUAAAUAGAGAGUUUUGUUCUCGUAAAAAUUAUCUUUUAUUUUUAUUGCAUUUCAUAAAUUUAUAAUUUGUACUUCAAAAUGAAUAGUUUAAUAUUGAAGACAUAUAUACAAUUUGAUAUUGAUGUAUUAUUAAUUUAUUAUGAAAAUUAUAUAGUUUGUCAUAAAACUAAAUGAAGUGAUAAUUACUAUAAUUUUUAAAAUGUUAAUUUUAAUUAUAUAGUAGAAUUUAUUUGGUAAUUUUAUUUAAAUUAUUAUUAAAAGAAUUAUUUCUUUAAUUUUACAAUUUAAAAAUAUCAUUUUUAAAUAUUCACUAAAACAAAUGAAAUUAUGAAAAUACAUCAUAGACUAUCAUUCACAGUGAAAAGAAAAAAAAUCAACUUUCAAUAAAUUUAAAAUUUGAUCAAUUUAAUUUCAUAUUAUUUUUUAAAAUAUUAGAAUAGAAUCAUGAUUUAUAAUAUUAAAUCUAUCAUUUUAAAUAAAUUAAAUAUCAUGCAUUUAUUCAAUGAAUUUAAAAUUAUAAAAUUUUUUAUAUGUUGUUAAAUUUUAACUAAAUAACCAAUAAUAAUAAUUGAAUUAAAUUAUAAAUUUAUAAUAUUAUUUUAUUUUUGAAUAUUCAUGUGAAUUGUUGUGUAUUCAUAAAAUGAAAUCGAAAUUAAAGUUAACAAUUAAAAUUAAAUAAAAAACUUAAAAUUAAAUUAAUUAUUAGGGCUUGUUUUUGUUAUAACUAAAUAUAAAAUGUUUCUAAAUAUAAAUUGUCACAUUGUAGGGCUGGGAAUAGAACUCGGACAAAAUGACCUAAAUGUACAGGUGCAACCAAUCAAACUAUCAAGGAGAUUUUUUACUUAAUUGAGUUUAAUCGAACUAAUUUUUUAAACAAACUGAACUGAAUUAUUUUGACUGAAUUAAUUUUGAUCGCUAGCCAUCGAAACUAUAGAAAAUGACAACUUAAUUAAUCAAAUUUCGUGAUAAACUGAUUCUAACCGAAAUUAUUAAUCACUUCUUAAUCAAAGUAAACACUGAAAUAUUUUUUUAUUAUCAAUCUAAUCAAAACCAUGUAGUUUUAAGAAUCAAUUAAUUUGAUUAAUUUAGUUAAAUUAACUUUUAACCGAAUCUUUAACUAAUUGCCAAAAAUAUAUUGUUUUUUUAACUAAACUUUUAAUCAAACAUUUAUUCACCAUAUUAAAUCAAUUGAAUUGGCCAAAUUAAUUGAAUUUACUGAAUCGAAUGCUAGCUCUUACUAUUUCAAAACUUAUGCAUAAAAAAUUUUAUGGUCCGGAAGGGGCCGCCACUUCGUCCCUGAUUGUGAUAAAAAAUAAAACUUGAAUAUUUGAGGGAUAAAUGUUAUUUUAGAGCGCAGUUAUUACAAUCACUAAAGUUUCGAGCAUUUUAUAUAGUUAACCUUUUUUUUUUUGUUCGGUUAAUUCAAUACGAGGUGUAGCAUCCACAUUUAUUAUAUUUUUACUCAUUAAUUUUGACAAUUUUGAGUUAGAGUAGAAUUAUGAUAAUAAAAAGUUAUAAUUGAGGUGUGUCACUGACAAAGUUGGAUUUGAAGGUAUUUUUAUGGUUUAGCUUAAGUUAAGCUAUUCCGACUGUCGUUUCACAGAGGUGAAAUAUCAUACUUCCGUCACACUACUCUACAAACAAACACUCUCAAAACCACUGCAUUCACAUCUCAUCAUCCAAUGCAAAUUUGACACGUAAUUAAAAUAAAUCUCAAUCUAUCCGACAUAUCGCCAAGUGGAAAAAACAAAAAAAAUCAUCAAAAAUAUAUUAACAGAAUCCCAUAGCUUUAGCUCAUUCGAUUGCGAGAGCAUCUAUUGGUUACGCUCGUCUCCCAAGUGUGAGAUGUGAUACCUGACCGUACUGCUGAAAUUUAUCAUUUGUGUUAAUGAAGUUUGGAUUUUUUCCUUUAAAAAAAAAAAAAAAAAUCCCACAGCUUUAACGGUGGAGAUAAAACGGCCUCGGCAUUCGAUCACUGGCAACGUGUAUCCUUUCGCGAAAAUAUUACCGUCCUUUUAUUAUUUUUACGCUUGAAUUGAAUGAUUCAAUCUCCGGGUCACAGGUACGUCCUGUCCCAUCAUUCACACUAUAAAAACUCUCCUGCAGGUUGUCACUGAUCACCGAUCACACAGUGAGCAAAGCAGAAGUGAAAGGGAGAGGGGAACACAAUGGCAACAAACACUUCACAUUUAUCUGCAACUACGCAUUGUACCUCUGUUUCCCGAUUUGUAGAUUUCGGUUCCAGAAGUGGAAAGUCGACAUCGAAUUUGUUUUUGGUUCGAAAUUUGAGGCCGCGACCUGUUUCGCGGUCGUUUUCGGUUAAGAAUGUGUUUAGUGAGCAAAUGCAGAAGCUUAAAGAUCUGGUCGCUGGAGAAGGUGCUCUGGUUCCUUUCAUUUCUGUUGUGUUCUUCUACUCUGGUUGUUUUUCCUUUAGCACGUUCCGCUUUUUGAACGCUAUAAGUUCCUGAGUUAUAAUUAUAUCUUAUGCUCCAGUUAAUUGAGUUUCUUAUAUUUUCUUGUAGAGAUGCCAAGUGGUCAGAAUCCUUCCACUGCAGAUUCCUCGUCUAUUGCCGCAAGUAUCAAAUACCAUUCAGAAUUCACAUCAGCAUUUUCUCCCGAGGAAUUUGAGCUUCCAAAGGCCUUUUUGGCUACUGCACAGAGUGUUCGUGAUGCUCUUAUUAUAAACUGGAAUGCAUCAUAUGAGUCCUAUGAGAGUUUGAAUGCAAAACAAGCAUAUUAUCUGUCAAUGGAAUUUUUACAGGUUUUUCCGUCAUCUCCUGGUUUUAUUCCCAAAAUUUGAGAAUUCGUCAUCUGCAAAGCAUUGUUACUUCAUCACAAUAUCUGCUCUUGUAGGGAAGGGCUUUGUUGAAUGCAAUUGGUAAUUUAGAGCUGACUGGCACUUAUGCAGAGGCCUUGACCAAACUUGGACACGCUUUGGAAACUGUGGCUCGUCAGGUAAGGGGUUUUUAGUAACUUUCUUCAGUAAAAUUACUUGUAUUAACUUUUAAGUUGAUCUUGAUUUGAUAUGUUCCCAUUGCUAUUUUGGAAUGCCUCAUGCAAAGCUUCAGUUACAGAUUGAAACGUUUGGAAAAAUCUUACAAUUUGUUUCUUUAUUUCAGUGGCUAAAAAGUAGUUUAAUUCCUUUGUUAAAUUUCUUCAGUAAUUACUUUGAUCUGGUAUAGAGUAUAUGCCAAUGGUUACCGAAAAAUUUAUGAUUCUCUCUGUAAGUGUGUGCAUAUUUGUACCCAUAUGGUUCUAGAUGUGAUUUUAGUUCCUAAAUUCAUUGGUCAAAUUGUAAUAGGAGCCUGAUGCUGCACUUGGAAAUGGUGGUCUUGGGCGACUUGCUUCCUGCUUUUUGGACUCUAUGGCGACAUUAAAUUACCCUGCAUGGGGUUAUGGACUAAGGUACAAGUAUGGUCUAUUUAAACAGCGCAUUACCAAAGAAGGUCAAGAGGAGGUUGCUGAAGAUUGGCUUCAGGUAUUUUUUGUUUCGGGUGAUUCCUAUAAAUAUGUCGUGGUCCUUUGAAGCUGAGAUUUUUAAUCUAUUAUCCUCCUGAAAUUUUUGUUAAUCAUAUUUUUCUCCUUUUAGAUGGGCAAUCCCUGGGAAAUAGUGAGAAACGAUGUUGCAUAUCCUGUGAAAUUUUAUGGCAAGGGUGUUUGUGGAUCAGAUGGAAAAAAUCGUUGGAUUGGAGGAGAAGAUAUAAUGGCUGGGGGACAUGAUGUCCCUAUACCGGGAUAUAAAACUAAAACAACCAUUAACCUGCGACUUUGGUCAACUAAAGCUCCAGCAGAAUAUCUGGACUUGUCUACUUUCAAUUCUGGGGAGCACACAAAAGCAUGUGAGGCCCUAGCAAAUGCUGAAAAGGUGUGGAUUUGUUCCUUAAUAUUCUAUUGUUC